GUGGAGUCGACGUGCUACACAUGCAGUCGAACGAGAUCUCAUCAAGCUUGCUUGGUGGUGAGAGUGGAGAACGGGUGAGUAAUGCGUGACCGACCUGCCCCAUGCACCGGAAUAGCUCCUGGAAACGGGUGGUAAUGCCGGAUGCUCCAGUUGAUCGCAUGGUCUUCUGGGAAAGCCUUUGCGGCAUGGGAUGGGGUCGCGUCCUAUCAGCUUGAUGGCGGGGUAACGGCCCACCAUGGCUUCGACGGGUAGCCGGCCUGAGAGGGCGACCGGCCACAUUGGGACUGAGAUACGGCCCAGACUCCUACGGGAGGCAACACUGGGGAAUAUUGCACAAUGGGCGCAAGCCUGAUGCAGCGACGCCGCGUGAGGGAUGGAGGCCUUCGGGUUGUAAACCUCUUUUGUUAGGGAGCAAGGCAUUUUGUGUUGAGUGUACCUUUCAAAUAAGCACCGGCUAACUACGUGCCAACAGCCGCGGUAAUACGUAGGGUGCAAGCGUUAUCCGGAAUUAUUGGGCGUAAAGGGCUCGUAGGCGGUUCGUCGCGUCCGGUGUGAAAGUCCAUCGCUUAACGGUGGAUCCGCGCCGGGUACGGGCGGGCUUGAGUGCGGUAGGGGAGACUGGAAUUCCCGGUGUAACGGUGGAAUGUGUAGAUAUCGCUAAGAACACCAAUGGCGAAGGCAGGUCUCUGGGACGUUACUGACGCUGAGGAGCGAAAGCGUGGGGAGCGAACAGGAUUAGAUACCCUGGUAGUCCACGCCGUAAACGGCGGAUGCUAGAUGUGGGGCCCGUUCCACGGGUUCCGUGUCGGAGCUAACGCGUUAAGCAUCCCGCCUGGCCAGUACGGCCGCAAGGCUAAAACUCAAAGAAAUUGACGGGGGCCCGCACAAGCGGACGAGUAUGCUGAUUAAUUCGAUGCACGCGAAGAACCUUACCUGGGUUGACAU
rnacentral:rRNA from 1 species